GCACAUGAACUUCAGGGGGACAAAAUGUAUUCCGUGACAGUCGCUUCUCGCAUUUCCCAGCCCUCCGGUUUUCAAAUAAGUGCUUUAAAAGUUACUUCUUCAGGAUAACAACUGUGACCCUAUUCAUGGUAUUGACUGGGUUAGUAUUUCCUCAGUGGGAGAAACUUCAUGUUGAUGAUGAAAUGAAAAAUCGCUGAAGACUUCCCUUCAUUCAUGACACUGAAAGUACUAUUUCCAGGGUGAAUCCCUACAUAUGCCACAAAUAUUGCUGUUUGAAUAAAGAACUUAUCAUGA